UAGGGAAUCUUCCGCAAUGGACGCAAGUCUGACGGAGCAACGCCGCGUGAGUGAAGAAGGAUUUCGGUUCGUAAAACUCUGUUGUUAGAGAAGAACAGCGCAUAGAGUAACUGUUAUGCGUGUGACGGUAUCUAACCAGAAAGCCACGGCUAACUACGUGCCAGCAGCCGCGGUAAUACGUAGGUGGCAAGCGUUGUCCGGAUUUAUUGGGCGUAAAGCGAGCGCAGGCGGUCAAUUAAGUCUGAUGUGAAAGCCCCCGGCUCAACCGGGGAGGGUCAUUGGAAACUGGUUGACUUGAGUGCAGAAGAGGAGAGUGGAAUUCCAUGUGUAGCGGUGAAAUGCGUGGAUAUAUGUAGGAACACCAGUGGCGAAGGCGACUCUCUGGUCUGUAUCUGACGCUGAGGCUCGAAAGCGUGGGUAGCAAACAGG
rnacentral:rRNA from 1 species